ACGAACGCUGGCGGCACGCUUAACACAUGCAAGUCGAACGAGAGAAGAGAAGCUUGCUUUUCUGAUCUAGUGGCGGACGGGUGAGUAACACGUGAGCAAUCUGCCUUUCAGAGGGGGAUACCGAUUGGAAACGAUCGUUAAUACCGCAUAACAUAAUUGAACCGCAUGAUUUGAUUAUCAAAGAUUUAUCGCUGAAAGAUGAGCUCGCGUCUGAUUAGCUAGUUGGUAAGGUAACGGCUUACCAAGGCGACGAUCAGUAGCCGGACUGAGAGGUUGAUCGGCCACAUUGGGACUGAGACACGGCCCAGACUCCUACGGGAGGCAGCAGUGGGGAAUAUUGCACAAUGGAGGAAACUCUGAUGCAGCGAUGCCGCGUGAGGGAAGAAGGUUUUAGGAUUGUAAACCUCUGUCUUCAGGGACGAAAAAAGACGGUACCUGAGGAGGAAGCUCCGGCUAACUACGUGCCAGCAGCCGCGGUAAUACGUAGGGAGCGAGCGUUGUCCGGAAUUACUGGGUGUAAAGGGAGCGUAGGCGGGAUUGCAAGUCAGAUGUGAAAACUAUGGGCUUAACCCAUAAACUGCAUUUGAAACUGUGGUUCUUGAGUGAAGUAGAGGUAAGCGGAAUUCCUAGUGUAGCGGUGAAAUGCGUAGAUAUUAGGAGGAACAUCAGUGGCGAAGGCGGCUUACUGGGCUUUAACUGACGCUGAGGCUCGAAAGCGUGGGGAGCAAACAGGAUUAGAUACCCUGGUAGUCCGCACGGUAAACGAUGGAUGCCCGCUGUUGGUCUGAAUAGGUCAGCGGCCAAGCGAAAGCAUUAAGCAUCCCACCUGGGGAGUACGCCGGCAACGGUGAAACUCAAAGGAAUUGACGGGGGCCCGCACAAGCAGUGGAGUGUGUGGAUUAAUUCGAAGCAACGCGAAGAACCUUACCAGGUCUUGACAUCGUAUGCAUAGCUCAGAGAUGAGUGAAAUCUCUUCGGAGACAUAUAGACAGGUGGUGCAUGGUUGUCGUCAGCUCGUGUCGUGAGAUGUUGGGUUAAGUCCCGCAACGAGCGCAACCCUUACUGUUAGUUGCUACGCAAGAGCACUCUAGCAGGACUGCCGUUGACAAAACGGAGGAAGGUGGGGAUGACGUCAAAUCAUCAUGCCCCUUAUGACCUGGGCCUCACACGUACUACAAUGGCUGUCAACAGAGGGAAGCAAAGCCGCGAGGUGGAGCAAACCCCUAAAAGCAGUCUUAGUUCGGAUUGUAGGCUGCAACCCGCCUACAUGAAGUCGGAAUUGCUAGUAAUCGCAGAUCAGCAUGCUGCGGUGAAUACGUUCCCGGGCCUUGUACACACCGCCCGUCACGCCAUGGGAGUCGGUAACACCCGAAGCCUGUAGUCUAACCGCAAGGAGGACGCAGUCGAAGGUGGGAUUGAUGACUGGGGUG
rnacentral:rRNA from 1 species